rnacentral:lncRNA from 1 species
CUGAAAGCUACUACAUAGUUUGCCAAGCACACACAGAUACUCCUCGCACCACUCGCAUUCGACAUUUGAAAACUUUAUCCUACACAAUCUCUUCACCAACAAGACAAUCUUUCCACUAUCAUUUGCACACAUUUCACUAUGGGCACAAAUUCUAUGCAUAGAGAGAAGUUCAACUCGAAUAACUCAAUGCCCUUGAGAGUUUGUAGUUAUGGCCAGAGUGCUUCAACUAGUUUGAAUUGUCGUUAUGAUCUAUUUCUUUUACGACGUAGCACUUAGAGGCAUUAUUCUAUUCUCUAUUUUUCAUUCUUCUGUCUUGUUGAUCUCCUCUCCUAAAUUUCAAUAUGAAUUUCACCCUUGCAUUUCUUAAAUUCGCGUAACAACCUCAAAUUGAAAAACUUGGUUGAGAUUGGAGUGUUAAAGGGAACUAACCCGAUGGGGGUGUGGCUUACGGGCUGUUGGUAGAGGCUGCAGGAGCUGCUGCCCCCCCCCCCCCCCCGCCCAAAGGUUGGGGCGGUGGUGGGAUUUGGGAUUGGAUAGGGCAGGUGGAUUGGCAAUGAAGUGUUUCUCUUACAUUUUAUUUUAUCUUCCCGUCUACCUUUUCUUUCCUUUUUAUAUUUUAAAUGGUUAUGCAAUAACAGGGAAAGGUUGGGGACCAACUUACUUCUUUAUAAUGUUUGGGUACCAACUUCUACUCUGGAAAUAAGUUGGAGGACUAGCAUUGCAAUUUUCGCUUCUUAAUUGUGAUUACAAUUUUUACCACCAAUUCUCAUUGAUGCUUGUUUCAUUGAUACUUCAUACCGAUCAUCUUUCUAGCUUACUUUGUUUGUGCAGUGAUGUCUUUUGUUUUCUUGGAGGAAUUCCAAAGCUAUAAAAAUGGAGGAUACAGAUUCCCAUUUGAGAAAAUGGGAGGAAAUCGAUAACGAUGUUCUGGUAAAGAUAUUCCAGUGUUUUGACAUCUUUGGGUUGACCUCGUGGCGUUUGGCAGCUUGUGAUCCAUUCAUCUGGAAGACGCUGAUUCAUCAAUGCUAAAAUCGAACUUCAUUAAAACCCCAUCAGAACCCUAUGUAUAUGUUGGUGGUCCGUCUGCUACAACACUAACCCGAGUCUUGAAGAUUGCAUAAAGUCUCAGACAUGGAAACAUAACAACCUUGAUUUUCCAUUAUAACCUAUUUGUUAGCGAUGACCAAUUGACUUAUACAGCAGAGAGGUAUGUCCAGAGGAUUACUGUCUUUUGAUGUACUGAAUCUCAUCUUAGUAGUUAUGUGUACACUUCUAUAGAAUUAGAUGUUGGAAUAAUUAAUAAUUGCAUAUGUGGCUUCACAUUCGAUUGCAAAAUUUUACGGGUUAGAUAUAUGGCUCAUAAUGAUAUUUGUGUUUAGAUCAAAUUUAUUUGGUGAUCAA